AGUGAACGCUGGCGGUAGGCCUAACACAUGCAAGUCGAACGGCAGCACAGGAGAGCUUGCUCUCUGGGUGGCGAGUGGCGGACGGGUGAGGAAUACAUCGGAAUCUACUCUGUCGUGGGGGAUAACGUAGGGAAACUUACGCUAAUACCGCAUACGACCUACGGGUGAAAGCAGGGGAUCUUCGGACCUUGCGCGAUUGAAUGAGCCGAUGUCGAAUUAGCUAGUAGGCGGGGGAAAGGCCCACCAAGGCGACGAUCCGUAGCUGGUCUGAGAGGAUGAUCAGCCACACUGGAACUGAGACACGGUCCAGACUCCUACGGGAGGCAGCAGUGGGGAAUAUUGGACAAUGGGCGCAAGCCUGAUCCAGCCAUACCGCGUGGGUGAAGAAGGCCUUCGGGUUGUAAAGCCCUUUUGUUGGGAAAGAAAUCCAGCUGGCUAAUACCCGGUUGGGAUGACGGUACCCAAAGAAUAAGCACCGGCUAACUUCGUGCCAGCCGCCGCCGUAA
rnacentral:rRNA from 1 species